UUUUAUGCGUUAGUGGUAGUAGUGGCAUCCUUUUUUUUGCUGCCAUAUAUGGCAAAAAAAAGAUAUAACGGAUGACACGACCUUUA
rnacentral:sRNA from 1 species